CUCUGAUGCUCGGUUCCCGCUGUUGCCACCGGUGAAGAUCAUCGGCGUCGCUGAGGAGGGCGACGCAGUGUUCCUUUGGACGAUGCUCGGGAUCUUUAUGUUCUGUCCAGGAUCCAUGGAGCUUAAGAAGGUCUGUGAAGAAACUCGAGAUAUUGAGAUGGUGCACCCAUACGCAUCCUUCUAUGUCCCAACUCGCAACUCCCGCAGAAGGCAGUGAAGAAACAGCAAAACAGGGUUGACAUGCUACAACAAAUGUCGCUGAAGAUUAAUGAUGAAGGUGCAAUGGAGUUUUUAGGGAUUGGAUGCCUUGUGAUUUUUUGCUUCGUUAAAUUUGAACCUGUUUGAUACAAAUAAUACAUGUAAUAUGUUUGUUGCAAUGACUUUGUACUCGUUGUACUCUCUUAGAUGAUUUUUGUUGUUCAAUGACUGCAUGCGUAACUUCUGUUGUGAGACUCAUGUAUGAAAUCAAGGUGGAUUUUUGGACGCAUGAAAA